AAGUCGUAACAAGGUUUCCGGAGGUGAAAAAUCAUUACGGGUGGCGCAAUCACGAUCGCUCUCGGCCCCCUAAUCACCUUUGCAUGAAAACGGGCCUGCGCUUAAUUGUGCAGCCACCAAACUCGAACAACUGUUCAGAAUGGAUAUCUUGGUUCUC
rnacentral:misc_RNA from 1 species